rnacentral:rRNA from 1 species
UUAAAAAGCUCGUAGUUGGAUUUCGGAGUGGGCCAGUUGGUCCGCCGCAAGGUGUGUUACUGACUGGUCUGCUCUUCUUCGCAAAGACUGCGUGUGCUCUUUGUUGAGUGUGCGUAGGAUUUACGACGUUUACUUUGAAAAAAUUAGAGUGUUCAAAGCAGGCUAUUGCUUGAAUACAUGAGCAUGGAAUAAUGGAAUAGGACUUUGGUCCCAUUUUGUUGGUUUCUAGGACCGAAGUAAUGAUUAAGAGGGACAAUUGGGGGCAUCCGUAUUUCGUUGUCAGAGGUGAAAUUCUUGGAUUUACGAAAGACGAACAACUGCGAAAGCACUUGCCAAGAGUGUUUUCAUUAAUCAAGAACGAAAGUUAGAGGAUCGAAGACGAUCAGAUACCGUCCUAGUUCUAACCAUAAACCGAUGUCGACUAGGGAUCAGCCGGGCGUCAUCGUACGACCCUGUUGGCACCUUACGGGAAACCAAAGUUUCUGGAUUCCGGGGGAAGUAUAGUCCCAAGGCCGAAACU